CCUACGGGCGGCAGCAGUGAGGAAUAUUGGUCAAUGGGCGGAAGCCUGAACCAGCCAAGUCGCGUGCGGGAUGAAGGCCCUACGGGUCGUAAACCGCUUUUGCACUGGGAUAACACCCUCCACUUGUGGAGGUCUGCAUGUACCGUGCGAAUAAGGGCCGGCUAAUUCCGGUCCAGCAGCCGCGGUAAUACGGAAGGCCCGGGCGUUAGCCGGAUUCAUUGGGCUUGAAGGGAGCGUAGGCGGGCGUUAAAGUCAGCUGGAAAACCGCGCGGCUCAACCGCGCCCCGCAGUUGAAACUGGACGCCUUGAGUUCACAAGAGGCAGGCGGAAUUCGUGGUGUAGCGGUGAAAUGCAUAGAUAUCACGAGGAACCCCGAUUGCGAAGGCAGCCUGCCGGGGUGCGACUGACGCUGAGGCUCGAAGGUGCGGGUAUCAAACAGGAUUAGAUACCCCUGUAGUC
rnacentral:rRNA from 1 species